UACGAAGGGGGCUAGCGUUGUUCGGAAUUACUGGGCGUAAAGGGCUCGUAGGUGGCCAACUAAGUCAGACGUGAAAUCCCUCAGCUUAACUGGGGAACUGCGUCUGAUACUGGAUGGCUUGAGUUUGGGAGAGGGAUGCGGAAUUCCAGGUGUAGCGGUGAAAUGCGUAGAUAUCUGGAGGAACACCGGUGGCGAAGGCGGCAUCCUGGACCAACACUGACACUGAGGAGCGAAAGCCAGGGGAGCAAACGGG
rnacentral:rRNA from 1 species